rnacentral:rRNA from 1 species
UUGACCAAUUUGACCUCAAAUCAGGUAGGACUACCCGCUGAACUUA